rnacentral:rRNA from 1 species
GACAGAGGGUGCAAACGUUGUUCGGAUUUACUGGGCGUAAAGCGCGCGUAGGCGGUUUGGUAAGUCGGGUGUGAAACCCCCAGGCUCAACCUGGGGACGCCACCCGAUACUGCUGUGGCUAGAGUCCAGUAGGGGAGUGUGGAAUUCCCGGUGUAGCGGUGAAAUGCGCAGAUAUCGGGAGGAACACCAGCGGCGAAGGCGGCACUCUGGGCCGAUACUGACGCUGAGGAGCGAAAGCGUGGGGAGCGAACAGG